UACGUAGGGGGCAAGCGUUGUCCGGAAUCAUUGGGCGUAAAGAGCGUGUAGGCGGCCCGGUAAGUCCGCUGUGAAAGUCCAGGGCUCAACCCUGGGAUGCCGGUGGAUACUGUCGGGCUCGAGUCCGGAAGAGGAGUGUGGAAUUCCUGGUGUAGCGGUGAAAUGCGCAGAUAUCAGGAGGAACACCAAUGGCGAAGGCAGCACUCUGGGACGUGACUGAGGCUGAGACGCGAAAGCAUGGGGAGCGAACAGG
rnacentral:rRNA from 1 species